rnacentral:rRNA from 1 species
GGGACGCGGAGGACAUU